GACGAACGCUGGCGGCGUGCCUAAUACAUGCAAGUCGAACGAGAGCACCCGGUGCUUGCACUGGUCAAUCUAGUGGCGAACGGGUGAGUAACACGUGGGUAACCUGCCCAUCAGAGGGGGAUAACAUCCGGAAACGGAUGCUAAAACCGCAUAGGUCUUCGAACCGCAUGGUUUGAAGAGGAAAAGAGGCGCAAGCUUCUGCUGAUGGAUGGACCCGCGGUGCAUUAGCUAGUUGGUGAGGUAACGGCUCACCAAGGCCGUGAUGCAUAGCCGACCUGAGAGGGUGAUCGGCCACAGUGGGACUGAGACACGGCCCAAACUCCUACAGGAGGCAGCAGUAGGGAAUCUUCCGCAAUGGACGCAAGUCUGACGGAGCAACGCCGCGUGAGUGAAGAAGGUUUUCGGAUCGUAAAACUCUGUUGUUAGAGAAGAACAAGUGCGAGAGUAACUGUUAGCGCCUUGACGGUAUCUAACCAGAAAGCCACGGCUAACUACGUG
rnacentral:rRNA from 1 species